GAUGAACGCUGGCGGCGUGCCUAAUACAUGCAAGUCGAGCGAACAGACGAGGAGCUUGCUCCUCUGACGUUAGCGGCGGACGGGUGAGUAACACGUGGAUAACCUACCUAUAAGACUGGGAUAACUUCGGGAAACCGGAGCUAAUACCGGAUAAUAUAUUGAACCGCAUGGUUCAAUAGUGAAAGACGGUUUUGCUGUCACUUAUAGAUGGAUCCGCGCCGCAUUAGCUAGUUGGUAAGGUAACGGCGUACCAAGGCGACGAUGCGUAGCCGACCUGAGAGGGUGAUCGGCCACACUGGAACUGAGACACGGUCCAGACUCCUACGGGAGGCAGCAGUAGGGAAUCUUCCGCAAUGGGCGAAAGCCUGACGGAGCAACGCCGCGUGAGUGAUGACGGUCUUCGGAUCGUAAAACUCUGUUAUUAGGGAAGAACAAAUGUGUAAGUAACUAUGCACGUCUUGACGGUACCUAAUCAGAAAGCCACGGCUAACUACGUG
rnacentral:rRNA from 1 species